ACAACAUUCGGACCGUCGGUCUACCGAGCCAUUACACCCGCUCGCUGGAAGAUCUUACCUUCGCCGC
rnacentral:pre_miRNA from 1 species